rnacentral:rRNA from 1 species
AUGAACGCUAGCGACAGGCUUAACACAUGCAAGUCGAGGGGCAGCACAGGUAGCAAUACCGGGUGGCGACCGGCGCACGGGUGAGUAACGCGUAUGCAACUUACCUAUCAGAGGGGGAUAACCCGGCGAAAGUCGGACUAAUACCGCAUGAAGCAGGGGCCCCGCAUGGGGAUAUUUGCUAAAGAUUCAUCGCUGAUAGAUAGGCAUGCGUUCCAUUAGGCAGUUGGCGGGGUAACGGCCCACCAAACCGACGAUGGAUAGGGGUUCUGAGAGGAAGGUCCCCCACAUUGGUACUGAGACACGGACCAAACUCCUACGGGAGGCAGCAGUGAGGAAUAUUGGUCAAUGGGCGCGAGCCUGAACCAGCCAAGUCGCGUGAGGGAUGAAGGUUCUAUGGAUCGUAAACCUCUUUUAUAAGGGAAUAAAGUGCGGGACGUGUCCCGUUUUGUAUGUACCUUAUGAAUAAGGAUCGGCUAACUCCGUGCCAGCAGCCGCGGUAAUACGGAGGAUCCGAGCGUUAUCCGGAUUUAUUGGGUUUAAAGGGUGCGUAGGCGGCCUUUUAAGUCAGCGGUGAAAGUCUGUGGCUCAACCAUAGAAUUGCCGUUGAAACUGGGGGGCUUGAGUAUGUUUGAGGCAGGCGGAAUGCGUGGUGUAGCGGUGAAAUGCUUAGAUAUCACGCAGAACCCCGAUUGCGAAGGCAGCCUGCCAAGCCAUGACUGACGCUGAUGCACGAAAGCGUGGGGAUCAAACAGGAUUAGAUACCCUGGUAGUCCACGCAGUAAACGAUGAUCACUAGCUGUUUGCGAUACAGUGUAAGCGGCACAGCGAAAGCGUUAAGUGAUCCACCUGGGGAGUACGCCGGCAACGGUGAAACUCAAAGGAAUUGACGGGGGCCCGCACAAGCGGAGGAACAUGUGGUUUAAUUCGAUGAUAUGCGAGGAACCUUACCCGGGUUUGAACGCAUUCGGACCGAGGUGGAAACACCUUUUCUAGCAAUAGCCGUUUGCGAGGUGCUGCAUGGUUGUCGUCAGCUCGUGCCGUGAGGUGUCGGCUUAAGUGCCAUAACGAGCGCAACCCUUGCCACUAGUUACUAACAGGUAAAGCUGAGGACUCUGGUGGGACUGCCAGCGUAAGCUGCGAGGAAGGCGGGGAUGACGUCAAAUCAGCACGGCCCUUACAUCCGGGGCGACACACGUGUUACAAUGGCGUGGACAAAGGGAAGCCACCUGGCGACAGGGAGCGAAUCCCCAAACCACGUCUCAGUUCGGAUCGGAGUCUGCAACCCGACUCCGUGAAGCUGGAUUCGCUAGUAAUCGCGCAUCAGCCAUGGCGCGGUGAAUACGUUCCCGGGCCUUGUACACACCGCCCGUCAAGCCAUGGGAGCCGGGGGUACCUGAAGUCCGUAACCGCGAGGAUCGGCCUAGGGUAAAACUGGUGACUGGGGCU